CUCUAGAUCCAUAAAAUGUCAAGCAAUAUGAAUACUUUUUGUAAACUCAUCUGUUUUUUCCUCUUUGUUAUGGCCCUCCUCUCUAGCUCCUGGUUAGCACUUGCUGAUACCACUCUAAGCAAUAAUUUUAAUGGAAGGAAGCUUGGUGGUCAAGUUCGUGUACCUAGAAGUAAACCUCGUCAUUCCGGUCCAUCAAAACCAUAAAAGCCUCCGUACUAGUCCAAAUCUUGGCUCAAGAAGAGGAUAGUCUAUCAUCACCAAAAAAAAAAAACUUACAAAUGUUUACAUUACAUAUAUGCAAAACCACAAGUUAUUAAUGUUGAUGCCGCUAUGCCUAAAAGACCACCUCUCCAAUAAAUCACUCUGGUUCAACUUUUAAGGCCGGCCCUUUUGUAGUAUUUUUGAUUAGUUAUAAGUACUCAAUAAAAGGAUUUGCAAACAUUGAAUUGUUUGUUGCUAUGAUGCAGUUUAAGAAAUAAUAAGUGGUUAUGCAUUAGAAA